rnacentral:misc_RNA from 1 species
GAUGAAGAACGUAGUGAAAUGCGAUACGUAAUGUGAAUUGCAGAAUUCCGUGAAUCAUCGAAUCUUUGAACGCACAUUGCGCCCCCUGGUAUUCCGGGGGGCAUGCCUGUCCGAGCGUCAUUGCAACCCUCAAGCGCGGCUUGUGUGUUGGGCUUCGUCCCCCCGUGGACGUGCCCGAAAGGCAGUGGCGGCGUCCCGAAUGGUGCCCGAGCGUAUGGGAACUCUCUUCCGCUCGAACCGGCCCAUUCGGCGCUGGUCGAACCCCAAUUUUUUUUUACCGGUUGACCUCGGAUCAGGUAGGGAUACCCGCUGAACUUAAGCAUAUCAAUAAGCGGAGGA